rnacentral:misc_RNA from 1 species
UCCGAGUUGUCCCCGGCAGUCCUCUUAGAGUCCCCGGCAUUACCCGCUGGCAACUAAGAGCAGGGGUUGCGCUCGUUGCGGCACUUAAGCCAACACCUCACGGCACGAGCUGACGACAGCCAUGCAGCACCUGUGUACCGGCUCCCUUUCGGGCACCCCGAGAUCUCUCCCGGGUUCCGGCCAUGUCAAGGGUAGGUAAGGUUUUUCGCGUUGCAUCGAAUUAAUCCACAUCAUCCACCGCUUGUGCGGGUCCCCGUCAAUUCCUUUGAGUUUUAAUCUUGCGACCGUACUCCCCAGGCGGGGCACUUAAUGCGUUAGCGCCGGCACCCAGGGGGUCGCUCCCCCAGGCACCUAGUGCCCAUCGUUUACGGCGUGGACUAC